UACGGGAGGAGCGAGCAUUAUUCGGAAUGAUUAGGCGUAAAGGGUUUGUAGGUUGUUUUUUAAGUUGAAAAAAAAAAAACUAAAGCUUAACUUUAUUUAUUUUUUCAAAACUAAUAAACUAGAGUAUAAAUAGAGGAUAAUAGAAUUUUUAUUGGAGAGAUAAAAUUUGUUGAUAAUAGAAAGGAAUUUCAAAAGCGAAGGCAAUUAUCUGGGUAUAUACUGACACUGAGAAACGAAAGCUUGGGUAGCGAACGGG
rnacentral:rRNA from 1 species